AUUGAACGCUGGCGGCAGGCCUAACACAUGCAAGUCGAGCGAGAAAGGCCUUCGGGCUGAGUAGAGCGGCGGACGGGUGAGUAACGCGUAGGAAGCUACCCGGUAGCGGGGGAUAACUCGGGGAAACUCGAGCUAAUACCGCAUACGCCCUGAGGGGGAAAGCGGGGGACCGUAAGGCAUCGCACUAUCGGAUGAGCCUGCGUCGGAUUAGCUGGUUGGUAGGGUAACGGCCUACCAAGGCGACGAUCUGUAGCGGGUCUGAGAGGAUGAUCCGCCACACUGGGACUGAGACACGGCCCAGACUCUUACGGGAGGCAGCAGUGGGGAAUAUUGGACAAUGGGGGGAACCCUGAUCCAGCCAUGCCGCGUGUGUGAAGAAGGCCUUAUGGUUGUAAAGCACUUUAAGCGAGGAGGAGGCUCUUUUGGUUGAUACCCAAGAUGAGUGGACGUUACUCGCAGAAUAAGCACCGGCUAACUCUGUGCCAGCAGCCGCCGUAA
rnacentral:rRNA from 1 species